rnacentral:rRNA from 1 species
UACGUAGGGUGCGAGCGUUGUCCGGAAUUAUUGGGCGUAAAGAGCUCGUAGGCGGCUUGUCGCGUCGGAUGUGAAAGCCCGGGGCUUAACUCCGGGUCUGCAUUCGAUACGGGCAGGCUAGAGUUCGGUAGGGGAGAUCGGAAUUCCUGGUGUAGCGGUGAAAUGCGCAGAUAUCAGGAGGAACACCGGUGACGAAGGCGGAUCUCUGGGCCGAUACUGACGCUGAGGAGCGAAAGCGUGGGGAGCGAACAGG